GUUUUUGUUAAAGCUGUCAAACGCAAAGGCCUCUUGUCCGAACAUUUUUAAUAGGGUCUCCCCCUUUUUUUCAGCAGCAUACCAACAACUCUCUGACACCAACAUCAUGCACACGUAAAGGUUGAGAAGUUGACAGAGCAGCUGGAACAGAUGUGGAAGAUUAAGGCGAGCGUGGUCACCAUGGUAGUAGGAGCACUCGUGAGGGGCAGCCUCACAGGUAAAAGCAGUCUCCUGGUUAAAGCAGCGCACCGACAGCUCCAGACAGAUGACAAGCACACAGCUGGUGGAGGAGGAGUGAAGGCGGCCUGAGUGUGAUCCCGGUUUCCAUUCAUCAUGAUACCACUCUACUUCAGCAAUAAAUCUGUCACAACUAAAGGCGUGUGGAACAAGCCUCUGGUAACAUGAUGAACUCCAGUCAGCCUGUUGUACUUGCCAUCAGGAUGAAGAGGGGCACCAUCCAUAGUUCGCCAUCGUUCUGGAUAACCAGGUCAUACCUUACUGGUCAACCAGUUCUCACAUUUUGUAUAUGGUACUUUUUAUUAUCGACAACAUGUAAACCUUCAUAAUGACCACUGUUUACAACAUGGAUAUGGGCUACUACACUAGUCAAUGAAUAAAUUGACAUAGAAAGUAGGCAACAUAUUUGCAUAUUGCAUUUCUGAACCUUCAACCAAUUGAAAUGAACCAAUGUUCAUGUGAAUGCUGUCUUCAAAUGUUUACUAUGUUCACGAAGCAAAGUUAGCACUUGACCUCCAUGAAUCAACGGUACACGUACACAACUUCCUAAUACAGUGUAAAGCUACAUAAUUUUGCUUCUUUGAAGAUGAUGCUCUGACUGGGCAUCAGACAUGGUCAUCCAUCCACAACUUAAGUGGAAAAAACAAAAGAACAUUAGAAAAUUUGGAACAAAAGCCAUAAUUGUCUGUAAAGACACAUUUCCCUGUUAUCAAUCAUUUCAUGACCCUCCAGAGUUUUCACGCGACCCCACACUGGGAAGCAAUUCUGUCUGCGUUGAGUUCAGUUUCCAUCCUCGGAUGGAGAUUUUUGAUCCAAUCUAUAACUCAUUACACGUAGACAUGUUCCAUAAACAAGUCCCAACGGGGAACAAAACACGCAGCAAAUUCAAAUUGUUUCCCACUGGCAUAAAUCAAACAGUGGACAGGGCCUGGGCAGGACUCAUGCUAAUCUGAGCUGGGUUUCAUCAUGUGUAUGCAGGAUACAUAUUCAAGUGUCCUUGUGAAGAUAGUGUCAUUAUUUCUCAUGUCGCCCACAUUAAUUGGGUCAGCAGCUGCGAGAAGCUUGACCUGUGCUGUUGCUUGGCAACUGUUUCCCAAGCAUAUAGAAAAACACAAACCAGAACUUUCGUCACCUGGAAUUACCCAACAAGAUCUGCAACCUUGUUCAAAUGGAUUCGCAUAUUCAUGAAACCAUGGUAAAAAUAAAAAGUUCUAAUAUAAGAAAUGUAUUAAUUUAUUGGUAACACAAAGUUCAACUCACGUACAGUACACCGUGUACGAUUACCUCUGCUUUUAAAAACACAGGAAUUUAAAGAAGUGUCAAUUUUGCAACACAACACAAUGAAAACAGUCUGAGCAGCAAAGCCUUCACAUUAAAGCAAAACACAACAUCUGCAUUACAAAUAUAUUAGAGCCCCUUCAUGUCCAAAGAGGUUGCGCCCUUUGGGGAAACACUAAUAUUUUAUGUCUUUGCAGAGUUUUAGUGUGUAAAAGGAUAAUUACAGAACCGGGAGCUGCAAACCAAUUAUGCUAAAUACAUUGACCUCUUCACAGAAUGUAGCACUACAAGUGUAGUAGCAAACACCUACACACUUCACAAGCCUUCACACACAAACACAAUGUGCCCUGUUUAGUAAAAAAAAAAAACUUCCUUUACAGACACAAAUGGAUGUCUUAGCCUACAUAACACACACACACACAAUCACACACAGAGAACCUCUGUAUGGAAUGUGCCACCAGAAUAAACCUAAAGUUUUACACUGUCAUAUACUGUAUACUCAAAAUUAACAGAUUUACAAAAAGCUAUUCCAAAAGUUUAAUUAUGGGCAAACAAACCUUUAAUUAAAUGGCUAAUCAUCUUUCUUAAAAUAUGUUUUUAAAAUGAAUUUAGUGAAUUUUAAUUGUUUAACAUCAUAAUACAGAUACCAAAUCACAGAUCUUUCAUUUGUUUUGUGUUUUUUUAGUAUAUUAAUACACAAAUGUAAAGAAUCAUAUCAUCAUAUAAUAGUAUAAUUACUCUAAUUAAAAAGGCCAUAGUACUGAUCUGGCAGCCUAGGUUCUGUUCUGUUUUAUGACCACAUCUACUUGGUCAUUGCCAAACAAAGCAUGUAACAUCCAAAGCAAAAUAUAUCAACUUUCUCAGUAUUUGAGUUCUAAGGGUGUAGCCAUUUGUUAUAGGUUACAGUUUACGGGAUUUAUUUCAGAGGACACUGGAUUAUAUUGUUGUGUAAUAUACCAUAAAUUGAUGCAAAAAGAUCCACAUAAUAUCAUUCCAACUUGUCAUUUGGCAUAUUCACUCUUGAAUGUAUGCAAGGUACUCCUGAAAAAGUUGCAUGAAAAGUUAGUAAGAUGGUAAAAACUGUAGUUGGCCCUUGCAUUUGCACUUUUUCGACCCCCCCCCCCCAAAAUACUUGUAUUUCAGAAAAUUGCGUAGCACUGAAAAACACAGAAAAAAAACACAUUUAAAGCCAGGAUAAAGACAAAUGCUAUACCAUUCAAAUUUUAAGGUUUCUAUGAAAACAUAAAGAAGCCCUGAGCUUUAGAUAAGAACCAAUUCCUGCACUUCAAUGACAUGUUUAUGCCAAGGACGAAACCACCUUACUGACUCUGUUGGUAUUCAGGGAAGGUGCCGCAGCCACAUGAGCAGCAAUGAGGUGGCUUGUUGCUUUGCCGUUUCUUCUCAAUUGAUUGUGUUUACUAUCUCUGCAACUAAUAUCAAGCGAGACGAUAUGCAGGCAUCAGCAUAUCGACAUAUGGGGCAUCAGCAAACAUUUAUCUUUAUAAUCAUGUCAUUCUAACAAGGAAUAUACAUUU